UAGAGGGAGAGAGAGAGAGAAAGAGAGAGAGGGGGAAAGGGAAAGAGAAAGAGAAAGAGAGCUCGAGAGAGAGAAUAGAGAGAGGUGGAGAGAGAGAACAGAUCUGGAUCGGGUCAAUCAAGGAGAUGAAUUUGAAAAUCUCACUCAAAUAUGAAGUUUGAUUUGUAAGCCAGAGAGAAGAGAUCUAGAUCGGUAUCGAUAUUCGGAUCGAGAUUGAGAUCAAUCAAGGCGAUGAAUCUAAAGUUUUCAUGCAUACAUGAACGUUGAAUUAUAGAUCUAACACUUUGAGGUAUUUUAAUUUGUAUCCAGUGGAUGAGAUCAAGGCUGCUAUUGAGGUUUCCAACACAUGGAUGAGGUUGUUCAAUAUGGUUUUUGGGGUCGACCUAGUGGGACAACUGAAUUUUGAAAUUUCAUUAUUUUGAGUCAAUUUGUGAGGAACUUGUAGUAGUUUACUUACCUUUUUAUAAUAAAUGGAACCUUGAUAUUGUCAUUUCUAUAGAAGCUUAAUUUUAAUUACAAUUAGAGCUUUGAUUAUACUUAUUCAAAUUCCUUUUUUUGUUAUUGUUUUUAGUAAGUAUACUGACGGUCAGUAACAAUGUUAGUAAGUAUACUGACGGUCAGUAAUAACAUUAGUGAACAUAGUGAGAGUGACUAUCCAUG